GAUCAAAGAGCAAAUCGAUCCUUUCUAUUAAAAAUUGGCGUGGGUAACAAAAUAACUAGACAGUGACAUACGACAUGUCACAUGUAUCUCAUACUAACGUAAAUGUAUCAAUUUUUAACAAUAGAAAUAGAUGAAAUUUUUAACA
rfam:Gossypium raimondii Chr10_contig_51, whole genome shotgun sequence.